rnacentral:rRNA from 1 species
AAUUUCUGGUACGGUGCGCCUGACCCACGGGUGCAAACUCGCGAGUGUCGGUGUGCGCCUGCCAUCUUGAGUGACGAUACCAGCUGCACUUUACUGGGCGGUUGGAUUCCGUUGUCACUUCGUUUACUUUGAAAAAAUUAGAGUGUUUAAAGCAAGCGUUGCGCGUUGAAUACAUUAGCAUGGAAUAAUAAUUUAGGACUUUGCUUUCUAUUUUAUUGGUUUCUAGGAGCGAAGUAAUGAUUGAUAGGGAUAGUUGGGGGUGCUAGUAUUCAUCGGCCAGAGGUGAAAUUCUUGGAUUCGAUGAAGACUAACUAAUGCGAAAGCAUU